rnacentral:lncRNA from 1 species
UGCUAGAGUUUUAUUAUUAAGAUUCAGUUUAGCAUAGCGACUUUAUUUAUUUAUUAAACACACUAAGCAAAAGAUAUAUAUAUAUAUAUAUGCAUAAAAUCUUUAUUUGGUUUCCCAUAGUUAAGUAUUUUAAUAUAGUAUAAGUAUAAAGAUAGAUAGAAAUACUUAGCGGGAUAAAUGGGGGUGCUCUCCCCCAAGCUGAAUUUUGACGUAAUUUCUCUUGAUGUAGCUAGCAGGUGGCAGAGGUGUAUUUGAAAGUCGGCAGUAUCCUAACAGUGAUUAAAAUGUCCUCCGUUUGCUAGUCUUCUUGAUUCUUAAAUUCUGUGGAGCUCAAAUAGACAACAAAGCUUUUAGGAAAUGAUUAAGUGUUAGCAUAAAUAUCUAGCCUUCAUCAUGUUGAGCCUCCUCAAUAAAUGUAACUCUCUAUUUUUAUAUUUUUGUUUUAUAGAGCAGAAAAAAUAUUUAUUUUAUUUUUAUGCCACCACAGUGAAUGUACUUAUGCAUUUUAUGCCACUCGUAUACUCACAUGGGGCUUACUGUUUUUUUAACAUUUUUAUUUUCUUUUUAGGAUAGUAUGAACAUGAUUAACUAAGCAAACUGUUUUAAAUAAAGGAAAAGGAUAACUACCAAGUUUACCUCUUGGCAAGGCGUUCGGUGUUUUUAAGUCCUCCGAACGGGACUCUCCUGUAAUACCCAAUUUUAAGGACAAAACCAGAUAUGCACCAUAUGUGAGUCUUAUAAGUCGAAUCUCACAUAUAGCUACAAAUAAGAGGUAAUAUCAAAAGACAAUGCAUAAAUUAUAUAACGUACAUAAUAAAUUAGAGAUAACCUUAGGCAGCAAACAACGGAAGAUACUCCAAACUUCGGGUAUUAACUUCACUCUACAGGAUCCAACUAACUGGUUGAUCACAAGCCUAAACUCCUCCUGAGGUGUGGGGGAAAUAGCAAGAGUGAGUCCAUGUCGAACUCCACAAGUAUAGCAACUAGAUUGUAUAGCUCCCACAUCUCAUGAUCAAUGUGACAUAAAUUAUGUAAAGCAUUAAAUAAUAAAUAAUAGGCAUAUUUAACACACAAGAAUCAUCAUCGUCGAUGCAAGAAUCCCCAAGGCCGCUCCUGACCGUGAGCUCGGCUAGUAUACUAGUUUUUAACCCUCUGCAGAGGUUGCACAUCUUUACCCAUGAGUCAUGAUUUACCCUUUCGCCCGAGGUAGCUAGUCUCUUAACCCCCUUCCUAGGGAGGUCAGCAGGGAUCACUAUGAAGUCUUUCAAAGGAUCGUCUAACAAGUUAGGGCCGCUUGAUUUCAUUAGUCAGUCCGUGUGAUUCACCCGCAGGAAUCAACGGUCUGCUAUUCCCCAAUUGCGCCACAACGGGUAACCGCUAACGAGCUAGAAAAGUUACUCAUACUUAACUAAAGCCAGAGCCAUUAUAGCCCUCAUGGUUGCACUGUUGUCCCAGUUAUCACUUACAGAUAAAUCAUCAAGUGGCUAAAAAGUCAUUUUUAUCAUUUAUUACUUAACAUUAAUCUAGUCACAGGAUCAUGGUCACAUAAAUAAAAUCCAAAUGCUAUACUUGCCUCAAUCCAAAUACUCUUGCUGAUCUUGCUAGUUGCCCAAGGCUCUGAUCUUGAUCAAUGAAGUACUAUGGUUCACCACGAAUUGCUCACCGUCUAAUCCGAUCAUCGAUCACACAAAGCUACAACUUGAACAGUACACCAAUCAUAUAAAAACAGUAUGAAAAGUUUAUAAAAAGAUUCUACGCAUCGCUACGAUUUCAUAGACGUAAAGAUCACGAAAAUCAGAGCUAAAACGAAGAAGUUAUGAAUUUUCUAAGAUUUUAUAUAGAAAAGUAAUUAAUUAAUUAAAGUCACGUAAUUAAAAAGUUUCAAACUGAGUAAAUAAUUUUACUAACAUGUAGAGCUCAUGAUUAUGAACCUAACAUAAUUUGAAUGGACAAAAACGGAGUUAAAAUGAGUAUUUUAUAAGCAAAGCAGUUUCAGUGGCAAACUUGUAAAUUCAGAAAAGGUAUUUUAGUUCAAACCGGAUUGAGUUACGUUUUCAAGUCUGAAAGGCGUAUUUCACAAGGGCGCUUUGGACCGCGGGUUGAACUUUAAAUCUUCCAGGGACUCUUUAGCAAAAACGCGAAUGAAGAGGUAUGUUCUAUUGUGAGCCGUUGAAACUCGAUCUGAUGGUUCAGAAUACAUCGAGGAGAUGGGAGACCAACUGCCGGCGGCGCACAGGGGCUAUACAGUGGCUCCAUGGCCGGAAAAGCGCAGAGCUCGCCGGAGAUGGUGGAGAAGGCACUAGGAAGCUCGGUUUUCGACGGAAAAAGUUCCGGGAGCAAGAGAGGACCAUCGCGAACUCACCUAGGGUGCUAUCAGAGCUCGAGGAGAUCUCGGGGGAGGUGCGCGACGCAAAACUGCGGACGCCGAGUCCUCCUGCAGGUUCGGCGUUGAUUAGGGGUGGAUAGGGGCCAAAAGAGAGCGAAAGAAGUAGCGUGGUAACUUCGUUACCUAGUUGCGAGGCUCGGCAAAGGGUUUUCAUGAACCGAAGAGCAACGAGGAUUUGCACCGGCGACGGCGGCUCUUCUCUGCGCCUGGAGAGAUCCAAAUCAAGGAUUUCAGGUGGCUAAGCGGCUUGGGGUGCUGCACAGAUGGCAAAAGGGAGUCGUGGAAGAGGGCACGAAGCUUUAUAGCGACCUAGGGCGUAUAUUGGCAAAGAAUCCCGGGAAACCUGGGAUUGGGCACCGGGUUCGUGUCCUGCUCGGCCACGGCUCACGGUAGAAGAAAGGUAGGGAGGAGGAAGACACUGCCGCGUGGGGCCUAGUCGUCAGCGAGAGAGAGAGAGCGGGUCCCAGCUGACAGCGAAACAGAGGAAAGGAGGGGGGCGCGCCACUCGGGCCGAACGAGCUGGGCCGGGGUCCGAACAGAGGGAGGGUUUUGGUUUGUUUUUUCUUUUUCUUUUAUUCCAAAGCCAUUUGAAACUCAUUUAAAAAUCCUUUUAAAUUAUUUUGAAUUUUGAGUAAAAAAACACUCAGCACAAUAAAUAAAAUGCAGAAGCAUGAGUGCACAAAAAUGUUGCUACACCCUAUGAUAAAUUUUAUUUUGAUGAAGAUUAUUAUUUCCAUUGUUUCAUGAGCACAAAAAUUCAUAAUUAAAUUAUUUUAGCUCUAUUUUCCACAAAACAAUUUUUAGGGUGUUACAAAUCUACCCCCUUAAAAUGAAUCUCGUCCUCGAGAUUCGAAAGAGACACAGAUUCCUCUGAGAGAACACAGGAUAAAGAUCUUGAUAACUAUUUUAACUUCACAACUUGUAUUCCAGUGUAAACACUUAUGUCUCAAGAUCACAACUUGUGAACAAAACUUCCAUAAAAUAUCUAUUAUUCAUAGCUCAUUAAAAUCCAUCUUGACUACCAACUUUUUGACUUAUACAACUCAAAGACAUGAUAACUUAGCAUGGGUAUGCCUCCUCAGGUUGGAGUGGACCACCUUGAUACUCAAUUCUUUUCCCUGAUGGUGCAGUUAAGAAAAUUUUCCACUGGGUAGCAUAGAUCACUGCCUUAUGUGCACAUAACCAUCCAUUGCCAAGAACCAAAGGAAUAUUGAGUGACUCUAGCACAAUGAGGUUUACAGUGAAGUUUUCCUUCUUUAUGACAAGAUUGAUAUUUGAGCAAACCUGAUCUGCCUGUAUUUCUCCCAUUGGGGUUUGAACUAACAAAGGCUUUGUCGUCGGACACUUCACCCGUUCGAUUGUCUUUACCAAGUCGGCGGAUAUGAAAGAAUGCGAAGCACUUCGGUCAAACAGAGCAAAAACUAGUACUGAGUCCACUUGAAUAUAGCCUCCCACCACUUUGGUGGCUCCUUGAAUGUUAUGCCUAUCCACAUUGUUCAGUCUUCCAUUGAUAUAAUUUUGCUGUACUUUAUUUCCAGGAGCGGGCUUCUUACGAGCUUUCCUUUUACGCUUCCGCCGUUGUGGAUUUUGAUUUGAUUCAUUGUCAACUUGCUCUUCAAUAUUAUUAUUUUGAUAACACUCAGCUUUGUCAUACUCAUAGCAUCUUUCUUCAAAGGCAAAAUGAUCAUAUUCUUCCCACCUAUCCAUAAGAGGUAUCAUAUUGUGCUCCGGAUUCAUGGGACACUACACUCCCUGUCAUCAGGUGACCAACGUCAGUAACACGGCAAGGAUAGAUGAUCAUAACCAUAUAAUAUCUUAGAAGACAAUUAUCACUCCAAGCUAGUCUUAAAAUGCAUCACCCGUGAUAUCAAGGUACUACCCCCCUUAAAAUUAGAUUGAUUGGAGAGACAUUAGGGACUAGUCCUCAUAACCUUUUUAAAUGCUACACAUCAUAUAGUCUUUAAAAUUCGCUGUACCGAGUCUCUUGAUCCAUCCAACAUUAUCCAAUUCUUUUCCAUGUAACCCCCUUAUUUGGGCUACCCCCCUUAGUAAAAGUCAUCUAGGGGGCACAAGAAAGGUAGCUUGCAUGUUUUCCCGGCAGGUUAACUAACAUUGAGAACCUCUGACAUCCCAAAGAACUUAUGUGUAAGGGGAGAACAAACAGGUAUCCUGAAUUUUUCUCAUGAUAUGAAAACACUAGCGUAGUAUAAUACAUAUAACUCUUAUUCUGUCAAUCCAACAGAGUUAUAGCUUAUACCUUUAGAAAACUUAUGAAAUUCUCUACCACUUUCAUGUAGAAGACCUCCUUAGAUUCUUUCUUUAAACUUAGGUAAAACAACCAAACAUAAUCUCCUUCCUGAUAAUGUCUCAGCAAAGGUGCAGUAACUUCCAGAAGUUAUAUCCCGAGCUACUUAACUCAUCUGGAGAUGAUCCUUAUGUUUUUGAAAAGUUUAGGAAAUCCUCUACAACUUUCAUAUACAACAUUUUCCCAGAUUCUGAAGUUAAUUUGGCUGAAAUUAGAAAAAUGCCAGAUCUGUCUAAAUUUUGAAACAGAACAGGAACAUCCAAUUGUAAAUAUCAUAUCUCAGGUUCUACUUAUCCAAAUAAGUUCCAGCUUAUACCAUUGGAAAGAAUAGAAAAUUUUCUACAACUUUUCUAUAGAAUACUUUUCCAAAUUCUAUAGUUAUAUAUGUCUAAAAUAGUAAGCAACCGAAACUGGUCCAGGUUCUUGACAGCACAGUUGUAUCAUCUUGUGAUUUUUGUAACUUCCAAACCAUAAAAGCUAUGAGGAUGAUUCUUGUGGUCAGUGAAAUAUCUUGAAGUCUAUUUGUUCUCAGAAAAAUUUGAUAAACCUUGCAUGAUCAGAACUUGAGAUACACUAGCUUUAUUGCAGACUGCUCCAGAAAUCAGCAAGGGAUAGAAACAAGAGAUAGCCAAACCCAACUACUUAUUUCAUUGAUCCUUAUGCCUUAGGUCCAUAAACUAAUGAAGUUGUGGAGAAAUCCCACAAGAUCAUUGCAAUCAUUACAAAGAUCCAAAUCAAGCAUAAGCAUAAUAACAAACCAACUAAGCACACUUCACUCAAUUUGCGAUACGAUCGUUCUCUUCAUAGUAAGGGUAGAGAUCUUAAAACACCUAUGCCAAUGAUGCCAGAAGGUGGUAAGAAAAAGUUUUAAAAGCAUGUCAAGCAAGGAGUGGGGAUGAGAACAAGUCUUUAAAAUAAGCAACAAGGUAGAGAGGAAUAGCAAGGGUAGAGAUAUAGUAUGGAUGAAAAUACCAAGGUUUUUAGAGCAAGGAUUUUAUGAUAAUUCAAAACCUUAAGACGACCAAUUUCCAACUAGGCUUGCGUCCUACAGUCAGCAUUGCUCUGAUACCACUUUGUAAUACCUGAUUUUAAGGACAAAACCAGAUAUGCACCAUAUGUGAGUCUUAUAAGUCGAAUCUCACAUAUAGCUACAAAUAAGAGGUAAUAUCAAAAGACAAUGCAUAAAUUAUAUAACGUACAUAAUAAAUUAGAGAUAACCUUAGGCAGCAAACAACGGAAGAUACUCCAAACUUCGGGUAUUAACUUCACUCUACAGGAUCCAACUAACUGGUUGAUCACAAGCCUAAACUCCUCCUGAGGUGUGGGGGAAAUAGCAAGAGUGAGUCCAUGUCGAACUCCACAAGUAUAGCAACUAGAUUGUAUAGCUCCCACAUCUCAUGAUCAAUGUGACAUAAAUUAUGUAAAGCAUUAAAUAAUAAAUAAUAGGCAUAUUUAACACACAAGAAUCAUCAUCGUCGAUGCAAGAAUCCCCAAGGCCGCUCCUGACCGUGAGCUCGGCUAGUAUACUAGUUUUUAACCCUCUGC